rnacentral:rRNA from 1 species
GACGAACGCUGGCGGCGUGCCUAAUACAUGCAAGUAGAACGCUGAAGGAGGAGCUUGCUUCUCCGGAUGAGUUGCGAACGGGUGAGUAACGCGUAGGUAACCUGCCUGGUAGCGGGGGAUAACUAUUGGAAACGAUAGCUAAUACCGCAUAAGAGUAGAUGUCGCAUGACAUUUGCUUAAAAGGUGCAACUGCACCACUACCAGAUGGACCUGCGUUGUAUUAGCUAGUUGGUGAGGUAACGGCUCACCAAGGCAACGAUACAUAGCCGACCUGCGAGGGGGCUCUGCCACUCUGGGACUGAGACACGGCCCAGACUCCUACGGGAGGCAGCAGUAGGGAAUCUUCGGCAAUGGACGGAAGUCUGACCGAGCAACGCCGCGUGAGUGGAGAAGGUUUUCGGAUCGUAAAGCUCUGUUGUAAGAGAAGAACGAGUGUGAGAGUGGAAAGUUCACACUGUGGCGGUAUCUUACCAGAAAGGGACGGCUAACUACGUG